rnacentral:tRNA from 1 species
CAACAUGUAGCUUAACUAAAGCAUCUCGCUUACACCGAGAAGAUAUCUGUGGAACCCAGAUCAUUUUGA